AAUGUUUAUUAGAUUAACAGGCUGAACGUGCCUCUCAAUGAGAGACCACAUAACUUAGAUUGAUAGAGAUGCCGAUAACUUUGCUGUCUGACACUGAGCUCCAGUGAGAGACAUUUUUGUGCAGAUAAAGGGAUUAGCACACAGCAUGAGAAUAACUCCUGCCCUGCUCUCCGUCUGCUCUGCAGGGAAAGUACAAGUGUAGCACCUUUGAAGAGAUUAAUCCCAAUACAGAGCAUCAGUGCUGCCACCAGUGAAUAUCCCAUCAUAGUCACAUACUGUAUUAAACCCUCUGAACCGAGCACACGACCACACCCAGUCCACAUCACCAGUCCAGCUUCCACACAUCUCAGCCUAUCAGAGGAGUUACUGCAGGGUAAUGAGCUUUUAAUGCAGCAAACAAGGAACACACUGGACACAUGACAUGGGAGUAUCAGAUUUUUCCUUAGGGGUUCUCAAGUUCAGGAACAACAAGUUGAUUUAUUAAAAGCUGACUGUAAACGCCUAGAUUAAACCCCAACCCAGCCCUUGAACAUGCGCUCUUGUCACCACAACUGACGACUUGUGUCUGCUGUUUUGUAGAAAGUGAGAUAUGAAACCAGUUCCACCCUUAUAGCACCAACUAACUAUACCUUCAGUAACCGAAUACUCUAUGUAUCUUAUGGUUAAUUACUCCGCAAGCACUGUAUCAUGCUAAAUGUUAAGAAGGGAUAUUUCACCCAAAAUUACAAUUAUGUCAUCAUCAUCAUCAUGUCAUCAUCAAAACUCAUACAGGUUGGAACAAGUGGACGAUUCCACUUUAUGAAUCAUCAAGCAAUGUAAUUUUCAUCAGCAUGUAAAGAUGGGAUAUAUGGAAGGUGUCUGAUCGCAGAGUGAAAUGAAGGGUCAUUUUAAUGACAAUGAAGGUUAUGACGGGGAAAAUGUACCAACGAGGCCUGGUUAGUAUCACACUGCAUACAGUUUUCAUAACGUACUAUUUUGAGCCACAUCAGAUUUAAGAAAUUGCCAUUUAAAUUCAGUAGGUCUCAUUUUUAGGGCUGUCCUUUGAACACAUUUGCAUAGUACAUAGUGCAGUUUGCACAAAAAUUAAAAUUCUGUUAUUUACUCUUCAUGGUGUUACAAACCUGUUUCUUCUGCUGAACAAAAAAAGAUGAUAUUUUUAAAAAUUUCUCAGUGUUUUGUUUGUAUGCAAAUAAAUUCAAUGGAGUCCAAUGUUGCUUUUGGGUGCCAAUUAUGAAAAAUAUAUUACACACUUUAAAUUGUUUUAAGGAUAGGUUUUUUUUCUCUCGCAAAUAUGCAUUCAUUUUAUCAAAACAACCAGCGUUUGGUGUAAUUAAUUCCAUUAAAUGUUGUAUUUGAUUGACAACCCUAGUAUUGUUUCCUCUUAUUGGGCUCAUAACUCUAAUUUUAAUAAAGUAUCUGUUUAAAAGCAGGAUUUUAUCCCAGUAAAUGAAUCAAAACCAGUUUGAAUCCGCAAUACUGAGCGACUCAGCUGAGAUGUCUGCUAACAGAAUAGAAAUGAACCAAUUAAAGCGGCUGCCCGCCCAACAGAGCUCAGUCUGAGCAGGAGAAUACAUUAGCAGACUGUGAAGCUGUAUCUGCAGACAUGUUUGACACUUUUAGGUGCUCAGUUGGCUGUAGUCAAUGCCACAGAUUUGAAAGCAGCCGAUUAUCUAGCAGAACUUCACUAACCGUCUCAGCCCUUCUCUAGUGCUACAGAUUGUAAAUGCAUGCUGAUUCAGACUGGUACUAUUAGCUACAUAAAGCCUGUCUGGAGGCCUUCAGUUUAAUUAGGUGUUUGUACAACCUGGUGUGCUUGUUAAAAUAUACAUUUAAAUAUGAAAUAUUGAUAAAAAAAAUUAAUAAAGGCAUUUAUUCUCAUC